CUACGUGAUGCACUGGAUGUCCACGAUAAUCUUAGGAUCUUUCAGGAAUAAUUGGGAGACGUAUUUUAAUGAAGUUAGACCAUUGGAAGCAGAGAGAUUUAAGGCACUUCGCAUACAGUGGGCACAAUAUUAUCUAAAAGUUAGAAAUCAAACAUAGGAUGUUAGGCAACUAUGUAACUUUAGGUUAAUAAAUUAGUUUACGUACUUUGCAUUAUAUUUUUUACAAUUGUUGUUUCAUCUUAACAUUAAACAACCUUUGUUGAUAGCUAGUUUUUUGCUAAAAUCUAUUUGAAAACUGAAUGCAAAUGAUAUAUGUUGUGUGCUG